rfam:Dipodomys ordii contig_75192, whole genome shotgun sequence.
GGGGGUAUAGCUCAGGGGUAGAGCAUUUGACUGCAGAUCAAGAGGUC